rnacentral:rRNA from 1 species
GUGCCAGCAGCCGCGGUAAUACAGAGGUCCCAAGCGUUGUUCGGAUUCACUGGGCGUAAAGGGUGCGUAGGCGGUGAGGUAAGUCUGACGUGAAAUCUCCGGGCUCAACCCGGAAACUGCGUUGGAUACUAUCACACUAGAGGAAUGGAGGGGAGACUGGAAUACUUGGUGUAGCAGUGAAAUGCGUAGAUAUCAAGUGGAACACCAGUGGCGAAGGCGAGUCUCUGGACAUUUCCUGACGCUGAGGCACGAAAGCCAGGGGAGCAAACGGGAUUAGAUACCCCCGUAGUCC